AUACGGAGGGCGCAAGCGAUGUUCGGAAUCAUUGGGCGUAAAGCGCACGUAGGCGGCUCAACAAGUCGGGUGUGAAAUCCCGGGGCUCAACCCCGGAACUGCACUCGAAACUGUUGGGCUGGAGUCUCGGAGAGGAAGGCGGAAUUCCCGGUGUAGAGGUGAAAUUCGUAGAUAUCGGGAGGAACACCAGUGGCGAAGGCGGCCUUCUGGACGAUGACUGACGCUGAGGUGCGAAAGCGUGGGGAGCAAACAGGAUUAGAUACCCCGGUAGUCC
rnacentral:rRNA from 1 species